AUUGAACGCUGGCGGCAUGCCUAACACAUGCAAGUCGAACGGAGCGGCGGACGGGUGAGUAAUGCCUAGGGAUCUGCCUGGUAGUGGGGGAUAAAGUCCGGAAACGGGCGCUAAUACCGCAUACUAUCAGAUCACUCUAGGUCGGAUUAGAUAGUUGGUGGGGUAAAGGCCUACCAAGGUGACGAUCCGUAACUGGUCUGAGAGGAUGAUCAGUCACACUGGAACGGAGACACGGCCCAGACUCCUACGGGAGGCAGCAGUGGGGAAUAUUGGACAAUGGGCGAAAGCCUGAUCCAGCCAUGCCGCGUGUAUGAAGAAGGCCUUCGGGUUGUAAAAUACUUUCAGCGGGGAGGCGUUACUCGAAGAAGAAGCACCGGCUAACUCCGUGCCAGCCGCCGCGGUAAUUC
rnacentral:rRNA from 1 species